UCUAAAUUUCUGUUUCUUUGUAAUAAUAUGCAUCAGUGCAUUCAGUUGUAUAUUACGAUAUUACUAAUUUAAAUAAAGUUAUUUCGAGCCUAAAACUGAUAAAACAUUUUCAUGAAGAUGUGUUUUGUUAUAGUUUUUGGUUCUUGACUGAAAUGAUUUAUGGCUCAUAAUCAGUUCUUUUAGAUCAGGACUGUUGUUUUAGGGAUAAGAUGAGUGAUAUGAAUGUCGCUUUUAAACGUUAUUGGAAGUAAUAUUUGAACUUUGAAAAUAUUUAGUAUUUCUUAAUCGGGAUAGCUAAAGAUGCAUCUGCAGUAGGGAUGAGAGUUUAAUAUUGUGUUUUCUAGUUGAACGAAGAUUGGAGAAUGAAAUAGCAAAUGAUGUGUUGGUGUUUACGGCACUAGAUUGGACAUAAUCAGACAAUAUACUCGAGAAAUAGCAUCGGAUGUUGAUCCUCGAAGUCUAGUUUUUGUUAAAAUCAUAGGUUCAUCUACCCUGAUUCUGUAUUAUCCUGGUCUUUAUGUUGCAUAUGCUGUUACCAGCAACCACGCCAAGUUAUGUGCCUUUUUGUUUCUCCUUUUCCUAGAGAAUUCCCUCGUCCUUUCUCAAGUACUUCAAUGGAGAUAUCCCAGUGGUUUCUCUGCUUGAAGUUGAAGGUCCAACUAGGAGAGCUUGGAGGAUUGGAGAGGAUUUCUUUUUCGAGGGUGGUUGGCCAAAAUUCAUGCGGGAUAAUAACUUGGAGUUCGAAGAUUUUCUAAAUUUUUCUUAUGCUAGAAAAUGUAUUUUCAAUGUAAAAAUAUUUGGGAAAAAUGGCUACUUGAAGCACGAUUUAACGGGCAUGGAGGAGCUUGAAUGAGAAAAUACCCAUGGGAUACAAGCUGAUGCUCCGCUAGCUGAUCAAGUACCUGAUGGGUCAAUAAACUCUGGUGUCUCAGUCGCUUUGUUUGAAGUCGUCUUGAAGAAAUCCAACUUUUCAAAAGUAUUGUUGAACAUACCCGCUUCAUUUGGCUACAAGUACAUGAAGAGUGGGCAAAAAUUUGAGAAGACAGCUACUCUUCAGACUGAUGGUAAAAGUUGGCCGGUCAUUGUUCAUAGUACCGAUAGACUUAAAUUUCGAAAAGGGUGGUGCAAAUUUGUACGGGACAAUAACGUGCAUGUAGGAGAUGUUCUAUGUUUUGAACUAAUUGAUGAGGAUAAUUUCAUACUGAAAGUUCGCAUUAGGCGCGCCUAAGUCUCGUCGAGGUAUAAUCAUAGAUAGAGGCAAUUUCCUUUGAUUGAUCAACUUACUAUCUGGUUCAAAUGUUUCUACUUGAGAGAGGAUAGAAUGUGAACUAAACAUGUAUUUUCAUAUCGGAAUAGAAGGUUAAUGUAAUCAGAAGUUUAAAUUAAUGUAUUUGCAUCAUUUUGUCAUAUGCUAAAUGCUUCAACAUAGUUAACCAUCUGGACUUCCGAACUCCCUAGCUUUUGGCGCUAAAACUGCAAAUGAACUCAUUUCAAUUUGAAAACAAGUACUCAAGAUAUAUGGUCAGUUCAUACUGUAAGUUAGUGUUCGAUGACAUUCCAACUUACACUAUUGUCGUGGAAUUAGAGACAUUUGAUUAUUCUGAUUAAGUUCUGGUUAGAAAUUCUUAGCCUAGAGGGAAGUUGAUUAGUCCACAUCAUAGUAUGGUCAGUUCAUACUGUAAGUUAGUGUUCGAUGACAUUCCAACUUACACUAUUGUCAUGGAAUUAGAGACAUUUGAUUAUUCUGAUUAAGUUCUGGUUAGAAAUUCUUAGCCUAGUGGGAAGUUGAUUUAGUCCACAUCGUAGUAGACUUCAUCCUACUAUUUUGGAGGCGUUGAUGUGUGCUCGCA